GAUGAACGCUAGCUACAGGCUUAACACAUGCAAGUCGAGGGGAAACGACAUCGAAAGCUUGCUUUUGAUGGGCGUCGACCGGCGCACGGGUGAGUAACGCGUAUCCAACCUGCCCACCACUUGGGGAUAACCUUGCGAAAGUAAGACUAAUACCCAAUGAUAUCCCACGAAGACAUCUGAAUGGGAUUAAAGAUUUAUCGGUGAUGGAUGGGGAUGCGUCUGAUUAGCUUGUUGGCGGGGUAACGGCCCACCAAGGCAACGAUCAGUAGGGGUUCUGAGAGGAAGGUCCCCCAGAUUGGAACUGAGACACGGUCCAAACUCCUACGGGAGGCAGCAGUGAGGAAGAUUGGUCAAUGGGCGAGAGCCUGAACCAGCCAAGUAGCGUGCAGGAAGACGGCCCUAUGGGUUGUAAACUGCUUUUAUAAGGGAAUAAAGUGGGUCACGUGUGACUUUUUGCAUGUACCUUAUGAAUAAGGACCGGCUAAUUCCGUG
rnacentral:rRNA from 1 species